UGUCAACUUAUAUGUAGGUACAUACAAGCGGACUUGGCGUCGUACCUUGGCAUAGUCCCUGUUACCCAUCAUAGAAGGUUGACGUUGUUCUUGCAUAUUGCACUUAUGGAUUCAACUUCGGGCUCACUGUACACUACACACAUCCAUGGCCAUUCUGACGUGUUCUUUACACCUAUUUUCUGGAGAACUGCACUGUUUGGAUAAUUUUGUAGGAACUGAUUUCGAAAAGUGCCUAAAUCGAUCAAGAAGCUUGCAAAGACGAUAAUAUACCCGAGUUCAUAGGCGUUUAAUUUCAUUUUAUCUCAUUUUUUAUGACAAUUUAUUGAAUAAGUACUGAAAAAUUCAAAUAUCCGCUGGAGGCUUCUCAAUGACGUGAUAUUCUUUACUCGCAUCAAUUCAAGAGGUCAAUAAAGGGACACAUACCAAAUUUCAGCAAAAAGGAAAUUGAUAAGCGUCUGAUGAUUCAUUCAAACGCUCCGUGUAAAUUUCAAACUGCGGCGUCCAACCAUAGUAGGUAAUUCCAAACUAACUUACACUGAAUUAUGAAAAAUAUUCAGAUGAAUUCGAACUAUAAUGACUUUGAAAUGGUAUUUACGUAAUGAUUCAAUAUAGUCAUUAGGUAAUUGAACUGGAGAAGUAAGUUUCGUUUCACCUAUUCACACAGAUGUAGCCUACAUAACGUAUGUAGGUACCAAAAAAUAUUCGAUUAUUUUCCCCUGCAAAUAUACCUAAUAGGUAUCAUGUUUAUUAUUCAUGUGAUUUCUUUCGUUUAAAACACAUGAAAUAUACAAACAAAUUGAAAAAAAAAAUGGUUCAUCGCA